rnacentral:lncRNA from 1 species
UGCCUCCUCAGGCCUGGCGGGUGCCCCUCCUAGUCUCCCCCAGGCUCCCCAGAUGCUCCUUGAGGGAACGUGCCCACCGUGUCCACCCUGUGAUCCCUGCACCUCACACCUAUCCUGAAGCAAAAUAAUCAGUAGUUAAAUAAGAGGAGGAGGGCACAUUACGGGCUGUGUGUGUGACGAGUAGCUGUUGGGAGCAGGCUUCCUGCGCACAAAGCUGCAACAUCUGUGGCUUUGUGUGUGGAAAGCGCCUGUCACUGAGGCAGGCCUGCCUCCACAUCAACACGCUGGGCCAGGACUCAGUGGGGACGGGGCCCCCAGGUUGCGGGGUGCUGCCACAACCAUCCUUCCAUCCAUCCACCACCUGCCCACAGCCAAGAAACAGGCAGAAGUGCCCAGCAAGGCAUGGUGAGCCAUACCAAGGAAAUGCAAGCCCCCAACAGCUGUCAGUCUUAUUCCACUACUGGAUUCUCAAUGUCUAGAACAGUGCCUGGCAAACAUGUGGCUUAACAAAGAUUUGUUAAAGGGAUGGGUAAGUGGAUAAAAGCAAACCUGUAUCCCUAACUGGUGGGUGAGAAAUGAAAAAAGCAACAGCCCCACACCAAAGGCACAGUGGAAGGCCUUAGAAUGCUCCCCUGAGAUCUGUCUAGACACGGGCACUGUGGAGGGAGAGGGCCCACGUCCCUGUCACGAACAGUGAUAGGCAGUGUGCAGAAAACACGCUAACAGGAGAGUCAGCUAAAUCCAACCGAACGACACCUUAGCCUCACGACAGGUUCCCUUCUCUCUCUCAGUUCUCUCUUAGGGCUCAGACUCUCGGUGACAGCAGUUUUUUUUCUUGCAACCUCCACCUCCCUGGUUCAAGUGAUUCUCCUGCCUCAGCCUCCCAAAUAGCUGGGAUUACAGGCACAUGCCACCAUGCCCAGCUAAUUUUUAUAUUUUUAGUAGAGAUGGGGUUUCACCAUGUUAGCCAGGAUGAUCUGAAUCUCCUGACCUUGUGAUCUGCCUGCCUCAGCCUCCCAAAGUGCUGGGAUUACAGGCAUGAGCCACUGUGCCUGGCUGGCGACAGCAGUUCUUUUUGCUGAACAGCAUGAUGUAGUCUGCAGUCCUUUUCACCUCUUUUAUCAUCUUGAUUUUCUGCCCGCACCCCCAG